rnacentral:rRNA from 1 species
UGAACGCUGGCGGCAGGCCUAACACAUGCAAGUCGAGCGGAUGAAGGGAGCUUGCUCCUGGAUUCAGCGGCGGACGGGUGAGUAAUGCCUAGGAAUCUGCCUGGUAGUGGGGGAUAACGUCCGGAAACGGGCGCUAAUACCGCAUACGUCCUGAGGGAGAAAGUGGGGGAUCUUCGGACCUCACGCUAUCAGAUGAGCCUAGGUCGGAUUAGCUAGUUGGUGGGGUAAAGGCCUACCAAGGCGACGAUCCGUAACUGGUCUGAGAGGAUGAUCAGUCACACUGGAACUGAGACACGGUCCAGACUCCUACGGGAGGCAGCAGUGGGGAAUAUUGGACAAUGGGCGAAAGCCUGAUCCAGCCAUGCCGCGUGUGUGAAGAAGGUCUUCGGAUUGUAAAGCACUUUAAGUUGGGAGGAAGGGCAGUAAGUUAAUACCUUGCUGUUUUGACGUUACCAACAGAAUAAGCACCGGCUAACUUCGU